AGUUAAACAGUACGUGAAAUUGUUGAAAGGGAAACGAUUGAAGUCAGUCAUACCAACGGGAAAUCAACCUUUUGAGCUCGGUCUCGUGGGUUUUGAAGAGUUUCAAAGCCUUCGGAUUCGCGGGAUUGGGAUCUCUUGGUGUACUUUUUCGUACGGUUAGUCAACAUCGGUUUUGAAUGUCAUAAAAUGACUGGAGGAAUGUAGCUUCGAUCUCGUAUUGAAGUGUUAUAGCCUUUGGUAGAUGUGAUGUUUGAGACCGAGGAUUGCAACGGAUACCCUUCAGGGCUAUUCGUCUGAUCUCUGAUACGUUGCCUUGAUGUUGAAAGCUUGCUUAUGAUGUUAGGGUAUUACGGUCAAAAGGUUAGAACGAAUUACAUUCGUUAAGGAUGUUGACGUAAUGACUUUAAA
rnacentral:misc_RNA from 1 species